GAUGAACGUUGGCGGCGUGCCUAAUACAUGCAAGUCGAGCGAACGGACGAGAAGCUUGCUUUUCUGAUGUUAGCGGCGGACGGGUGAGUAACACAUGGAUAACCUACCUAUAAGACUGGGAUAACUUCGGGAAACCGGAGCUAAUACCGGAUAAUAUUUUGAACCGCAUGGUUCAAAAGUGAAAGACGGUCUUGCUGUCACUUAUAGAUGGAUCCGCGCUGCAUUAGCUAGUUGGUAAGGUAACGGCUUACCAAGGCAACGAUGCAUAGCCGACCUGAGAGGGUGAUCGGCCACACUGGAACUGAGACACGGUCCAGACUCCUACGGGAGGCAGCAGUAGGGAAUCUUCCGCAAUGGGCGAAAGCCUGACGGAGCAACGCCGCGUGAGUGAUGAAGGUCUUCGGAUCGUAAAACUCUGUUAUUAGGGAAGAACAUAUGUGUAAGUAACUGUGCACAUCUUGACGGUACCUAAUCAGAAAGCCACGGCUAACUACGUG
rnacentral:rRNA from 1 species